UACGGAGGGGACUAGCGUUGUUCGGAAUUACUGGGCAUAAAGCGCACGUAGGCGGAUUUGUAAGUCAGGGGUGAAAUCCCGGGGCUCAACCUCGGAACUGCCUUUGAUACUGCAAAUCUCGAGUCCGGAAGAGGUGAGUGGAAUUCCUAGUGUAGAGGUGAAAUUCGUAGAUAUUAGGAAGAACACCAGUGGCGAAGGCGGCUCACUGGUCCGGUACUGACGCUGAGGUGCGAAAGCGUGGGGAGCAAACGGG
rnacentral:rRNA from 1 species